rnacentral:rRNA from 1 species
CGCCGCGUGAGUGAAGAAGGUUUUCGGAUCGUAAAACUCUGUUGUAAGGGAAGAACACGUACGAGAGUAACUGCUCGUACCUUGACGGUACCUUAUUAGAAAGCCACGGCUAACUACGUGCCAGCAGCCGCGGUAAUACGUAGGUGGCAAGCGUUGUCCGGAAUUAUUGGGCGUAAAGCGCGCGCAGGCGGUUCUUUAAGUCUGAUGUGAAAGCCCACGGCUCAACCGUGGAGGGUCAUUGGAAACUGGAGAACUUGAGUACAGAAGAGGAAAGCGGAAUUCCACGUGUAGCGGUGAAAUGCGUAGAGAUGUGGAGGAACACCAGUGGCGAAGGCGGCUUUCUGGUCUGUAACUGACGCUGAGGCGCGAAAGCGUGGGGAGCAAACAGGAUUAGAUACCCUGGUAGUCCACGCCGUAAACGAUGAGUGCUAAGUGUUAGGGGGUUUCCGCCCCUUAGUGCUGCAGCUAACGCAUUAAGCACUCC